AUGCUAGAGAGGAAAUGGGGAGUGGUGAGAAACAUCAGAGAGGAGGAGGGGACGGGGAAGGUUGGGGAGGAACUGGAGCUGCUCCUCGGUCGCAGAGCAUCGAUGCAGCCCCGGCAGUCCUGCAACAUUGGGGCACUGCUCUUUGGCCCCAUGGUCCUGUCUCUGGGACUCCUGCUCCAUGCUCAGCAAGCUGUCAGCCAGGAGCUCUGUGAAGCCCCAGGUCAUCUCCCAGCCCCCAGCAUCUUUCUGAGCCCCACAGCAGCCCGGCUGGGUGAAACUGUGCAGCUCCAGUGCACGGUGGACACCAGCGGCCACAUCAGCCGUAUCAUCUUCUGCCACAACGGGCAGGAGGCGAGUGCCAUGAAGGGUGAAAAAAAGAGCAUCUACAACCACUACGAGAGUGUGUCCGCAGCCAGUUCUGGCAACUACUCUUGUGGAUAUGAGAUCCGAGACAUCAUGAACCGGGUAACCCGAUCUCAGUUCAGCCCUGUGCAACAUCUGCACAUCCAAGGCCAACGUUUCGUCCUCAGCCUGGGCAUUUCAGUUCCUUGUAUCCUGCUUCUGGCUGCACUGGGAUGCCUGAUAAUUAGGAAAGGGGCCAGAGCAAGCAGGAGGACACUCCAGAAGACGAAGUUCAAUAUGCCUCCAUCACUGUUGCACGAACUUCCAAGCCAGCUUGCCCACCAGAAGAUACGACAUCGACGUACGCAGCCAUUGCACCACGGAGGAACCAGUAUCAUUAAGGCAUGGCAAGGUGGUAUCAGGAGCACACGGGAGCUGGGAUCAUCGGUAGAAGGCCCUGGCUUGUCUGUGGUCCUCUGCCAGGCUCGUGCACCCAGCAACAUCCCUGUGCGUCUCCCCUGAAGGAGCAUUUCAUCCGCACCCACUUCCUGCUCCACUUUCUUCCUUCUUGUCCUUGCCUCCAUCCAUGAGCAAACUCCACAUCCUCUGCUCCAGUGAGAGGUUUCUCCACCAAUAUUUUGCAUACCUGAAUGAAAUCCUGAGAUGGGCUUAGAAAUCUCACUUUUUUUUUUUUUUAGGAUUUUUUUUGCAGCAUCUCCUUGACCUUACUGGCAUAUCGGCUAGAAGCAGUGAGACAUUUACAUCCAAAACAGAGAUGCUCACACAACCCUGUGCUAUCAGGCCCAGGCUAGAGGAAGGACAUCCAGUCUUGACAAUGUACAGCAAAAUUAGAAACUUCAGCAACACUCGGACUUAUUGCAUCGUGGCACUAUUGUUGACUGCCCUGUAACGCAGCUCUGCAGCUUUGGGGAUGCUGUUUAUUUUACAGGUCCCUUUUAACAAGUCUUCAUAGACAGCGUUGCCCAAUGUCCAUUGAUCCCAGCAGGAGCUUUGAGACCCCAUCCUACAUGCAGUCCCCAAAACUGAGGGCUCUUCUUUUCUGCAACUGAACCACCUCCCCUUGGGACUCUAUCCAGAGGAUGUAAACCCUGGAAAUAGCAGCUCUGCAAGGUGUUUGCAGGAGCUGCGCGCCCUUGGCAACACAACUGCUGUUAUUGCUUGGUGUGUGCCAAGCCCUCGUGGUCACGGCAGCUCCAGAGGGAUUGUGGGGACCGAUAUUGUUUGUCUCAGUCCAGCUGCAAAUUGCAGAGCGCUGGAUUUUCAUCCUCGGCAGGUCGAUUUAGUCUCUUGUCCUUGGGAUUCAUUUUUACCCGCUUGCUAGGAAGGGAAACACUGAUCUCAGCCUGCACUUUCCCCUCUCUCCAUUGCUAAACUUUCACUUUGGCCCAGGGAUUUCAUUUCCCUGUUUCUAUGACCAGAAACUUUGCCUGUGCAUGGCACAGUUGAAAAUCUUCAAUAAAAUCUGCUUUUAAUGAGGAAAACCCCA
rnacentral:lncRNA from 1 species